rnacentral:miRNA from 1 species
CUGGAAUGCGAUCCACCCGGUA